rnacentral:lncRNA from 12 species
AGAAUUUUGCUGCCUGAAGUGUUAGGGAAGAUGGUUUUCCAUUCUCCAAGAUCCCAAAUUCUAAGGGUGACCUAAGCUGGAAUCACUAGAAGCCUCCUUCUCCAGCUGCAUGAAGGAAACUACAGUAUGAAGAAGGGAAGCCAUUACAUCAAGAACAGUAGAAAGAAGAUAAGAAGAGAAAGGGGAGGGGUGGAGAGAGAGAGAGAGAGAGAGAGAGAGAGAAAGGUACCUUGAAUCCAGUCAUGCUGGCACCUGUUCUGUGUGUGCUUACUGCUCAGCCAAUGACCUGUUGCACUUAAAGAGGUUUGAUGUGGGUUUUUUGCCAUUGAAAGGAUCCUGAUCAAUGAGAAGCCACACCAGGAGGAGGUUGCUGAGGAGGACCUGCUGAUGGAUCAAGAGGCAGAGGAGUGGCUGGGUUGGGAACCUGGAGUUGGUGUGGAUUCAGCAGAAUAUGUACCUUCCUGGGGGUGGCAGGCCAUCAAGCUGGGUUUGAUUUUGGGAUCUUGGAGAAAGGGAAAGGGGAGUGGGCAAGCAUUCCAGGCAAGCUAUUGGCUCAGAGGAGAGAAAACAGGAGAUGUAUUAGAAGACCAGCAACUAUAUUCUGGUUUGGCUGAAAUGUCAGGAAAUUCUAAGACACUCCAGUAAUUAAUAAUGAUGUCAACAGCCCAUCCAACUUGCUCUGAAAUAUAGUGUCUAGGAAUAUCGCACUGGCCCUUCAUCCAAAGUCUAAUUGUCUGAAAGAACUGCAUCCAAGAUGCUGUGAUUCCAUGAGAUGAAACACAACAAGUGCGAGGCUGCUCGGGAAGCAAGUGUUCAAGGUAGGUUUGGUGCUGGUGGUGGUGGGGUGCCAGCGAGAUGGACCAUGCAGCGGGCUCGCACUUGACUUCAUCUGUAUUUCCAUAGGGCUUUAAGGACCAAGUCACAGUAAUGAUGUCAACCUCGAACAAUUUCUUGAGCGCUUACUGUCAGCCACUUGUCUAAGCAUUCCCUGCGAGUCA